ensembl:snRNA U6 U6 spliceosomal RNA
GUGCUCAAUUCAGCAGCACAUACACUAAAUUUGGAAUGAUACAGAGAAGAUUAGCAUGUCCCCUGUGCAAGGAUGGCACCCAAAUUCAUGAAGCAUUCCAUAUUUUU